UAAUUUGAAGAUUGUAACCUUGGGGUUGGCUCUUGUCUAUGUUUCUUGGAACAGGACGUCACAGAGGGUGAGAAUCCCGUGCGAUGAGAUGCCCAAUUCUAUGUAAGGUGCUUUCGAAGAGUCGAGUUGUUUGGGAAUGCAGCUCUAAGUGGGUGGUAAAUUCCAUCUAAAGCUAAAUAUUGGCGAGAGACCGAUAGCGAACAAGUACAGUGAUGGAAAGAUGAAAAGAACUUUGAAAAGAGAGUGAAAAAGUACGUGAAAUUGUUGAAAGGGAAGGGUUUGAGAUC
rnacentral:rRNA from 1 species